UACGAAGGGGGCUAGCGUUGUUCGGAAUCACUGGGCGUAAAGGGCGCGUAGGUGGCCUGAUAAGUAGGAGGUGAAAUCCUGGGGCUUAACCUCAGGGCUGCCUUCUAGACUGUCCGGCUCGAGCACAGUAGAGGCAGGUGGAAUUCCCGGUGUAGCGGUGGAAUGCGUAGAGAUCGGGAAGAACAUCGGUGGCGAAGGCGGCCUGCUGGGCUGUUGCUGACACUGAGGCGCGACAGCGUGGGGAGCAAACAGG
rnacentral:rRNA from 1 species